UGGGGAAUAUUGGACAAUGGAGGAAACUCUGAUCCAGCAAUUCUGUGUGUGUGAAGAAGGUUUUAGGACUGUAAAACACUUUUAGUAGGGAAGAAAAAAAUGACGGUACCUACAGAAGAAGCAACGGCUAAAUACGUGCCAGCAGCCGCGGUAAUACGUAUGUUGCGAGCGUUAUCCGGAAUUAUUGGGCUUAAAGGGCAUCUAGGCGGUAAGACAAGUUGAAGGUGAAAACCUGUGGCUCAACCAUAGGCUUGCCUACAAAACUGUUGAACUAGAGUACUGGAAGGGUGGGUGGAACUACACGAGUAGAGGUGAAAUUCGUAGAUAUGUGUAGGAAUGCCGAUGAUGAAGAUAACUCACUGGACAGAAACUGACGCUGAAGUGCGAAAGCUAGGGGAGCAAACAGG
rnacentral:rRNA from 1 species